CACGUAGGGGGCAAGCGUUGUCCGGAUUUAUUGGGCGUAAAGAGCUUGUAGGCGGCUUAGUAAGUCGGGUGUGAAACCUCCAGGCUCAACCUGGAGACGCCACCCGAUACUGCUGUGGCUAGAGUCCGGUAGGGGAGCGUGGAAUUCCUGGUGUAGCGGUGAAAUGCGCAGAUAUCAGGAGGAACACCAGCGGCGAAGGCGGCGCUCUGGGCCGGUACUGACGCUGAGGAGCGAAAGCGUGGGGAGCAAACAGG
rnacentral:rRNA from 1 species